GGGUCAUGGUCGAAACGGUCCAGGUUCAAAUAGCCAACUUGGAAAAAUGGAGAGUAAGACAUGUCAAAAGAACACAGGGAAAACAAACAACGGUGGCAAAAAGAACAAAAACACCAAACACUUGAAUCAACACAGUUCAUUCAUACAAAGACCAGCACAGACCAGGGCAAACAGGGGCUUUUAAAUCACAGGGAUGAUGAGGAACAGGCAGAAAACAGGUGGAAACAAUAAGGGGUGGAGUCACGAAACAAGGGGGCAGGACAGUGAAGUAAACAUAACACGAGCACAUGGACAGGACUGGAAAGUAAACAAGAGCACAUGCAUGACUGGGAGGGGCCAAUUGUGAUACUUGUCAACCUCAAGUAACAUUAUAAUUGAGUGUCUGUAAUGCACACCUGUCAUCUGUGUCUGACAGGUGCACAUAAUCAACAUGAACGUGACAUAUUAAAGGGCUUUUGAUAUCAGAAUGCCAGCCAUGGCAGCACCUAGUGGUAAGAUCAAGAUAAGCUUAUUCAAAUAUAAUGUAAUAAUAAUAUAAUAUAAUGUUCACAUAAGUUUAACAGUGUGGACUAAAACGUCUGUUGACACUAGAAGUCGCUUUUAAUCACGGCUUCCCUGCAAAACAGAUCGCGUAUGGAUAUUUGCAGUAAAAAGGAAAACAACCUGAGCAACUGUAAGCCUGUAAAGGUCAGUUCAGGUCUUUUUGUGCUUGAAUAAGACACUGUGGGUGGCUGGGUUAAGAGAUUCGGCGCAGGCACAAGACUUUAUGUAACAGACAACAAAGUACAAGCACCUACAUUAUCGGUGUACCCAAUAGUCAAACAGAGCAAUGGAAAGAGCAUGCUGCUGUGCCAAGCCAGAGACAUGUAUCCAAGCCUGGUGAGGUUCAAAUGGACGGAAGGUAGUAGUAAUGCGGAAGGUGAUCUGAUGGAGCAGAAUGAUACUUCAACGGUGACCAGCAUGCUCAUCGUAGAUGAAGACAAAGCAAAGAACAAUGAAUACACCUGCAUUGUCCAACACGAGGGCAGUGUUAAUGAUAACAAGCUGGUCAUCUCAAAAGAAGAUGGUAAACCACCUACGACUGAAUCACCUAAUGGGGAUGUUCCAACCUGUUCACCAUCACCUGGCCGAAAAGAAGAGGAAAGCACAAAUUUUGUUUCGUCGGAGCUGGUGCACAGACUCUAUCUGUUCAAUCUCACGUACGUGUCUCUGCUGGUGAAGAACGUGCUGUAUUUCUGUGCUGUGGGGGUCUUACUGUACAAGAGGAGGGCCGGAAACAGUGAGACAUUUAGCAAACCCAGUCCCACAUCAAACUAGGACGACGGAGCAGAUAUUUUACAUAGGCUAGUAGUCAAAAGACUGGACACACCUGGCUGUAUGUUUUUCAUAAUCUUUUCAUAAUAAAAGGCAAAUAUGAAUAUUCAAAUUGGCGCCUAUCCAAAACAUAUAAAUAAAAAUAGUAAAGAUUGUAAACCAUUUUUUGGGAAAGAAGUAGUUCAUGUUUAGGACUUCAGAGAUGGAACCACAACCAUUAUGACCUUAUCAUUACUAUGUGUGUCUCAUUAAAAGAUUAUUAAUUAGCGGAAUUUCUGUUGCCGUUAAUGUAUUUCAGCCAAUCAGCUUUGUGGGAAACUUACUAGAUCUUACUAGAUCUUACUAGGUAAAAAUCCAGUAACUCCAUAUGAACUAUUUCAUAGUUUGAUGUCUUCAAUUUUUUGAGGUAAUGUUUCACAUAUAUGGAAAAUAGUAAAUAAAAUAGAUGUAUGAGUAGAUGUGUCCAAACUUAUGACUGGUAGGGUAUAUAUUUUUUUCACUCGUUUGUUGUUUUUUUUUUCUCUUAACAGUUUUAUCUUUUAUUUUAAUCCUUUUAUUAGUUGCCUCCUAGCCUUAGAUUGCUUGGCACAGGUAUGAUUUGUUUUCUUUUGUCUAAUUAUGUUCUGCAACAUCAGACUGAUUAGACCAUAAAGAUGUGUUUUUUUAAGGUACUUUUGUUUGUAUACAGUCACUUUUACACUUUUCCUGUAUUAAUCUAUCUACGUUAUUCAUGUUUGAUCAUUGCAUACAGUCUUAUGCAAAUGUUUAGGCACCACUGAUUAAAUUACAUGCUGAUUUUCUAAAUUGAGUUACACAUCCUCUAUAGGGAACACACUUCUGCACAUUUUAAUGCUCUAUUACUGUUUAUUUGCUGGAUUUAACACACUGGGAAAAAUGGCCUUUGUAAUAGUUGUGGCACAUUUUAUAUUCUAUGUGUUAUUUUUUCUGAUACAUUAAAAUAGCAAAUAGGUAAAAUUGUGCACUAAUAUUUGCAAACAAAUAUUUAGGUGUGUUCUCUCUACAGGAGGUGUCAUUUGAUACAGGGUGUUCUUGCAUAUGACUGUGUUCUCUCCUUUAAUUCUAUUAUCUUUAGCAUGCACUUAUUGUUUUAGGAAGUUAGAAGCAGAAAUGCUAGAGAGUUCUUGGCUGAUUAAGUGUUAGCUAAGCAUAUAUAAACCUGUAUUUACUCAUUCUGUAUCUCUUUUUGUCUCUAUUUCAAUUAAAGAACCAGUUUAUGCUUUUAAUGUUUGUAUUUUUUCUUCAAAGAAAGUUUCAAAUAAAUCUGGUUUCAGCCACAAUGUCUUCCUAAUCAUUUGGUGUCAAUCCUGAUCAAGAAUGAAUUUUUCCAAAUCACUGCAGCACAAAGAUCAUCGUCAGUAAUACUGAACUCUUUCUCUAACAGUCCAAUAAUGACCUCUUCAUAAAUCUCACAGUGAUGAUAGACACAUUCACACAGGAGUCAUGUAGCUCUUUAAGAUUCAUCAUUAAUCUCUGUUAUCCAGUUUAGUGGUGGAAUGUCAUGGUACACUCUAAGAAAACUGGUUAAACUCUCACGGGGAUGGUACCUUCAAGAGUAUGUCUUCAGUACCUU
ensembl:lncRNA